rnacentral:lncRNA from 1 species
AACUAGUUAUGUACUUAACAUUUAAUUAAUUUUUUAGGCAAAUGGCAGAAUGUAGAAAUUGGUUUCAUCGUGGAUGUGAAAAAAUUCCACAAAGCGCUUAUGAAAAUGAAGAUGCGAUCUGGACCUGUGAUAAUUGCCAAUUGCAAACAUCAACAAAAUUAGAUAACAUUAUGUAAAGGAAGAUUGUGAUACUCCUGCUGUUGUUUAACUAAAAGCAAUGUUAUUGGAAAUGCAUAUAGCUUGGUAAUGAUACCAGCAAUCUAAUGUAACUGGAAAUGCAUAUAGCUUGGUAAUGAAUUCAGCAAUCCGGUUGUUGUUAUUGGAAGUGCAUAUAGCUCGGUAAUGAUACCACCAAUCCAUUGUUACUAGAAAUGCAUAUAGCUUGGUAAUGAUACCAGCAACCUAAUUGUUGUAAUUGGAAAUGCAUAUAGCUCGGUAAUGAUACUGGCAAUCUAGUUGUUAUUACUGGAAAUUCAUAUAGCUCAGCAAUGUUAUAAGAUAUUCAGUUGGCUUCAUUAUAAAUAAUUUAGUUGGUAAAUGGCAAUGGUAAUCCAGUUGUUGGUACUAUUAAAAAUACUGAUGAAAACACAAAUAAAUUAGAUAAAAAAGCCUCAAAACGAGUGAAGUAAUACAGCAUAAAACUCCAAAAUCGUGGUUGAGAUUCUCUGAUAAAACAUGUUACAAAUCUAUUUUUAUUUAAAACCAAGUACUAUCUCCUCAAAAAAUAGCCAAUAAGUUAAAUAUUGGAUAUUCAGUUGUUGCACAUAUUUGAAAACCUUGUACUGAAACAGAAGACAUUAUGGAUCUGGAUUAUCUGGUGGGCAACACAAUGAGAUAAACGUUUAUUAAUUUGCUUAAUGAAACACGACAGCAAGUGGUGAAAUGUUAUAUUCUCAGACAAAAUGAAUUUUGAGGUAGAUAUGCAAGAAUAUGUUAUUGCUUCGUGUUCUGCUAUGGCGAUCACCUCAAGAGUAAUUUGAUUUGAAUUGUACAUGAAAACCAACCAAGCAAGGUAAUGGCAGUGUUGACUUUUUGGCCAACAUGAAUUAUGGAGGACUUAAAUGCUAUUGAUUAUUUGAAGGUUGACUUAAUGCUGAUAGAAACAUUGAAAUUUUAGAUAAUUACCUUCUUCAAUCCUUAUUU